CAGAUUUUUUGUUAUCAUUUCGGAAAGAAUAUAAAAGCCCAGAUCUGCAAAGCCAAAUCAUACUUUUCACUUUCGAGCUAGAAAAGAAUUACAACAUGCAAACCUUGUUUGUUCUCCUUGUCUUGGUGGCCUUGGUAGUGUGCACUCUUGCACAGUGGCCUUACUACGGUGGAUACUACGCUGGCUACAACCCCUACGUUGCUGCCCCCUAUGCCUACAAUUACUACGGAGCCUACAACCCAGCUUUGAGCUACUUGUGGAAGAAAUGAACAGGACUUAAAGAACCAAACACUGGCAUGAAGUUCCUGGUUUUCUGUGAAGAUGAUUGUUUAUAAUCAGAAAUUAUAGAAUAAAUUUAAUAUUAAAUCAAUGCAACAUGGCUGUAAUUAAUAAUAUUAUAAGCUGAAAAUAAAAUUAUUCUUUUGUAA